rnacentral:rRNA from 1 species
AUGGAAUUGAGGGUGCCUCAUAUGCUUCAUCUUUUUAAUGUCUUUCGUGAAAAUGAUGGGAAGGAAAAUUGUGCUCAAGUACUAGAAGAAGAAUUACAUAGAAUGCUUGGCAUAAAAUAUGUGAAUGAUGAGCAUGAUUGCAAUGUUGUUAGUAUGAAUUCUUUGAAUACCCAUGAUGCUAAUGAUAUGCAAAGCCACAAGCUUGGGGAUGCUAUGUUUGACGAAGAUUAUAUUUUUUGUCCCCCAAGUUUUGAUGAGCAAAUUUAUUAUGAUGAUAACAUGCCUACUAUUUAUGAUGAUUAUAUUGAUGAAAGUGGGUUUGGAAGAGUGUCAACUUUAGGAAGUAAUGAUCCCAAUAUUUUGGAGGGUGUUGAAUCUUAUUGUGAUAAUUAUGAAAGUAGAUUUGGAGAGGUCAUGACUUUAUUUAGUGAUGAAUCCACUAUUUCGGAAGAGGUUCCAAUUGAUUAUGAGAAUAAAGUUGCUACCUAUGAUGAUUAUGUGAUGACAUGUAUGCUAUAA